rnacentral:rRNA from 1 species
UACGGAGGAUGCGAGCGUUAUCCGGAUUUAUUGGGUUUAAAGGGUGCGUAGGCGGCCUGUUAAGUCAGCGGUGAAAUCUAGGAGCUUAACUCCUAAAUUGCCAUUGAUACUGGCGGGCUUGAGUGUAGAUGAGGUAGGCGGAAUGCGUGGUGUAGCGGUGGAAUGCAUAGAUAUCACGCAGAACUCCGAUUGCGAAGGCAGCUUACUAAGGUACAACUGACGCUGAAGCACGAAAGCGUGGGUAUCAAACAGGAUUAGAUACCCCCGUAGUCC